CUUUUCAAACCAGAAAUGAAACAGCCAUGGAUGCAUCCUAUGGCUUUCCCUCUUUUUCAGGACCUCAGGAACGCUUGAGCCCAAUGAUGUCAGCCUAGAUGAAGACAGCCCUGCCACAGCCCAUGCAGGACAGGGGUGCUCCCUGAAGUGGCUGUGGCCUAGACCACUGAGGAAGUCUGGAGAAAUGCUCAGGUCAUGCAUGUCCUUGUAUAUGGCAUCACGAAGCCUUUGGACAAACGUCAUCCUGAGAGCACCCACGUCGUAGCUCCACGAGUGCUGCUGGUCUUGCUAAAUUGCUGAAUUACCCACGGUGGGCUCAAA